rnacentral:rRNA from 1 species
UACGUAGGGGGCAAGCGUUGUUCGGAAUUACUGGGCGUAAAGGGCGCGUAGGCGGCACGACAAGUCGGGAGUGAAAGCCCGGGGCUCAACCCCGGAGGGUCUCUCGAUACUGUCGAGCUAGAGUGCGGAAGAGGCAACCGGAAUUCUCAGUGUAGCGGUGAAAUGCGUAGAUAUUGAGAAGAACACCAGAGGCGAAGGCGGGUUGCUGGGCCGACACUGACGCUGAGGCGCGAAAGCCAGGGGAGCAAACGGG